rnacentral:rRNA from 1 species
GAAGAGUUUGAUCCUGGCUCAGGAUGAACGCUAGCGGCAGGCCUAAUACAUGCAAGGUGAGUAACGCGUAUAUAAUCUGCCUCAUACUAGAGGAUAGCCCGAAGAAAUUUGGAUUAAGACUCUAUAGUAUCAUUUAAAGACAUCUUUUUAUGAUUAAAGGUUACGGUAUGAGAUGAGUAUGCGUUCUAUUAGUUUGUAGGUGAGGUAACGGCUCACCUAGACUACGAUAGAUAGGGGCCCUGAGAGGGGGACCCCCCACACUGGUACUGAGACACGGACCAGACUCCUACGGGAGGCAGCAGUAAGGAAUAUUGGUCAAUGGACGAAAGUCUGAACCAGCCAUGCCGCGUGCAGGAUGAAUGCCCUAUGGGUUGUAAACUGCUUUUAUACAGGAAGAAAAACUUUCUCGUGAGAAAGCUUGACGGUACUGUAAGAAUAAGGAUCGGCUAACUCCGUGCCAGCAGCCGCGGUAAUACGGAGGAUCCAAGCGUUAUCCGGAAUUAUUGGGUUUAAAGUUAAGUCAGAGGUGAAAUCCUGCAGCUUAACUGUAGAAUUGCCUUUGAUACUGGUUAUCUUGAGUUAUUAUGAAGUGAUUAGAAUGUGUAGUGUAGCGGUGAAAUGCAUAGAUAUUACACAGAAUACCAAUUGCGAAGGCAGGUCACUAAUAAUCAACUGACACUGAGGGACGAAAGCGUGGGUAGCGAACAGGAUUAGAUACCCUGGUAGUCCACGCCGUAAACGAUGGUCACUAGCUGUUUGGACUUCGGUCUGAGUGGCUAAGCGAAAGUGAUAAGUGACCCACCUGGGGAGUACGUUCGCAAGAAUGAAACUCAAAGGAAUUGACGGGGGCCCGCACAAGCGGUGGAGCAUGUGGUUUAAUUCGAUGAUAUGGUGACAGAUCUAGAAAUAGGUUUUUCUUCGGACACUAAACAAGGUGCUGCAUGGUUGUCGUCAGCUCGUGCCGUGAGGUGUCAGGUUAAGUCCUAUAACGAGCGCAACCCCUGUUGUUAGUUGCCAGCGAGUAAUGUCGGGAACUCUAACAAGACUGCCAGUGCAAACUGUGAGGAAGGUGGGGAUGACGUCAAAUCAUCACGGCCCUUAUGUCCUGGGCUACACACGUGCUACAAUGGUAGGUACAGAGAGCAGCCAAUGCGCGAGCAUGAGCAAAUCUAUAAAACCUAUCUCAGUUCGGAUCGGAGUCUGCAACUCGACUCCGUGAAGCUGGAAUCGCUAGUAAUCGGAUAUCAGCAAUGAUCCGGUGAAUACGUUCCCGAAGUUGGGAGUACCUGAAGUCCGUUUCCGCAAGGAUCGGCCUAGGGUAAAAUCGAUAACUAGGGCUAAGUCGUAACAAGGUAGCCGUACCGGAAGGUGCGGCUG